UCCGCUUUUUUUACUAAAAGGUCUCUGUCCAUAUGCCGCGAGAGCCUAGAUCGCGCCACCGUCGGAGAGACCUCCCUAUUCCUCCAUGUAAAAGUCGUUACUCGUUAGUAACAAAGUAGCUUCCCGUCGAAGGACGAACGUCUCGUCUGCCUGAAGCACUGGCAUCAUCUAGCGGUUGUUUUUAACGAUUCAGAGAAUUUCCCAGUGUGCCGCUAGAUGGUGGAAAAUGGCGAAAUGUGUGAACGAGUUAUGUCAUCUUCUGUAUUCGAAUUUUCAUGUUUUACUGCCCAAAAUCAACCAAUUAUUUACAUAAAAUGUACCUGCCGUCUAGUCAUCAGAUUAAUUUGGACCCCAUUGUAGGAACAAAUUGCUCAACACUUUCUGUAACUCACACUCUCAGCUUCAUCUACAUCAUCCUCUAACAUUUUAGACAAAACUUCUAGCUGUUUUUCCCAAAAUUUGUGGCAUUGGAUAUAUGGUUACAGGUUCAUUCUUGCCUGAAAGAUGUUUACACCUUUCAACACUUUUGGUGGGAUUGUUGCGUCAUGAAAUUGUAUUGCUGCCAUUCCGUGCAUCUCCCACUUCAUAGCUACAAGAAACGAGUAAUAGGAACCUACAACAGAUUGAGGAAUUUAUAGGUUAUGUGUUAUGCCAUUGGAUCCAUCGGAUUUCGCGAGUCCAGCCGCCGAUGUUAAUCUACAACACAGUUUCUUUAUUGGAAUUGUGUGGUCUGGCACAGAGAUCCUUGAUGCUGGCCUUUGUCCAUUACAGAAGAGUGACUUCUACCAACUUUCUGCUCCAUCCUUAUCUUCGCUACCCACACUCAAUUCUAGCUUCUCUGCUUAUAAUGCUGCUAAACAAUUUGUCGUACUUCACUGCUGAGUUAGACCAGUCGCUUCCGUCCGCCUGUCACUCUCCACGGAAUUAUGCCCAGGUAAUGCAGAUGAGACGGAAUUCCGAGACUCGUCAUCAACGUGGAUCAUCGCGACCGGCACCGAGACUCUGACUCGUCAUCCACGUGGAUCAUCGUAUUGUUGGUAUUAUUUCGUUAUAUGUUAGUUAACCCGUUGUCUGCCACGCCUUUGUUCUCCCCUAGCUCCUUAG